GGGCGCGCGCCGGCGCGGGGCCAGCCUCGCUUCGCCAGGGUCGCUGGCGGACGCGCGCCGCAGUCCGAGCCUCAGAAGCGCGGGCGCGGGGGACGGCGCAGGGGCCGCCUGGCUGGAGCAGCCAGAGGGGACAGCUUCGUCGAGAACGGAGGACACCGGCGGUCCAGGGUCCUGGGCAGUCGCGCCAGAGCUGAGCGGAGGGCGCGGCGCGAGAAAUGAUUCCGGAUUUGCACGUGGCUUUCCUUUCCCUUCACUGUCUGAAGCUGGUGCUUGUCGUUUUCCUCCGGAGGUCUCUGGGUGGCUGCACACUGACUGAGUUAAGCACUUUCUGAGAUUGCUUUCUACCCUCUGAAUUUGAAGAAAUCAGAAGUGAGGCACACAGAACUGAAAUGAAAAAUGAAGAGACUGGUAUGUGAAACAGAUCAGAAGCUCUCAUGCUGUAGCUUUAAAAAUGGAACUUUCUCCCUUAAGAUGUGAGUUG
rnacentral:lncRNA from 1 species